rnacentral:rRNA from 1 species
UGCAGCGACGCCGCGUGAGGGAUGACGGCCUUCGGGUUGUAAACCUCUUUCAGCAGGGACGAAGCGCAAGUGACGGUACCUGUAGAAGAAGGACCGGCCAACUACGUGCCAGCAGCCGCGGUAAUACGUAGGGUCCGAGCGUUGUCCGGAAUUACUGGGCGUAAAGAGCUCGUAGGUGGUUUGUCGCGUUGUUCGUGAAAACUCACAGCUUAACUGUGGGCGUGCGGGCGAUACGGGCAGACUUGAGUACUGCAGGGGAGACUGGAAUUCCUGGUGUAGCGGUGGAAUGCGCAGAUAUCAGGAGGAACACCGGUGGCGAAGGCGGGUCUCUGGGCAGUAACUGACGCUGAGGAGCGAAAGCGUGGGGAGCGAACAGGAUUAGAUACCCUGGUAGUCCACGCCGUAAACGGUGGGUACUAGGUGUGGGUUUCCUUCCUUGGGAUCCGUGCCGUAGCUAACGCAUUAAGUACCCCGCCUGGGGAGUACGGCCGCAAGGCUAAAACUCAAAGAAAUUGACGGGGGCCCGCACAAGCGGCGGAGCACGUGGAUUAAUUCGAUGCAACGCGAAGAACCUUACCUGGGUUUGACAUGCACAGGACGUGCCUAGAGAUAGGUAUUCCCUUGUGGC